rnacentral:tRNA from 1 species
AACUACCCUAGUAUAAUACAAUACAUGCGGCUUCCAACCGCCCAAUCUUACACAGCUAAGGAGUAGUA